GUGCUCGCUUCAGCAGAACAUAUACUAAAAUUGGAAUGAUACAGAGAAGAUUAGCAUGGCCCCUGCGCAAGGAUGACACUAACAAAAAAAAAAAAGUAUUUAUUAAA